rnacentral:tRNA from 2 species
ACAUGAUAAUUAGUUUAAACUAAAAUAAAUGAUUUCGACUCAUUAGAUUAUGACUAACUCAUAAUUAUCAAU